rnacentral:tRNA from 1 species
UCCCCGGUAGUGUAGUGGUUAUCACCGUCGGCUUUCACCCGGCUAACCCGGGUUCGAACCCCGGCCGGGGAA